GGUCGCGUGGCCCAAUGGCAAGGCGUCUGACUACGACUCAAGGGCCUCACGGGGAUCCAACUGAGCGUACCCAUCAGGAGAUUGCGGGUUCGAUCCCCGUCGUGACCU